ensembl:processed_transcript
GGGACUAAGGAGGCCACCUGAAGACACACCCUGGCUUCUGCCGGACCAUCUUCCUUCUCUUCCCCCUCCGGGACUAGAGGAGGCCACGCGCGGCCUCUCCGAUCUCAAGGGUCCUUUUAUGUAGCACAGUCAGGCCUGGGAACAGAACUUCCUGUGAUUGUAAAAAGUCUCAGGUGCGUCCUCGUUGUUUUAGAGACUUGGAGAGGAAAGAAAAGUCGGGGCUUCUAGGACGCCUACUACGCCAAACAGACCAAAACCAGGACGGGAGGACUGAAGAUGAAGCCAGCAAAAAGUCAUCAGCCAUGGCUGUUGUACGGUGUGCGUCACCUCUCCUGCUAAGUCUUCAUCCCUGUCUACGAGGACAAAGAAGUUGAGGGGUAAGCUGGCGAUGGGCCUGCCUGUCCUUGAAGAUGCUCUUAAGAGGACCUGGGUUCGAUUCCUAGCACCGACAUUGUGACUCAUAGCCUCUUGUAAUUUCAGUUCCAGGGAAUCUGAUGCCGCCUUCUAACCACCACGAAGACAAGUUGGUGAUAGAAAACGGGAAAACUGAAGACAGCCACUUUAUAAAACCCUUGUCUGCUUGAAUUUGUGCUGAUG